CAUGAGUAGCGAUAAAAAGUGUGAGAGACACUUUCGCAGAAAGUCCAAGGGUUCCUGCGCAAUGCUAAUCAGCGCAGGGUUAGCCGGCCCCUAAGUCGAGGCAGACAUGCGUAGACGAUGGGAACCACGUUAAUAUUCGUGGGCCUGGUGGUAGUGACGGAUCGCGCAAAGUUGUACGCCCUUAUUGGAUUGGGUGUGCAAUCCGCCGGUUCCAGGAAAUAGCUCCACCGCUAUAGACCGUACCCUAAACCGUCACAGGUGGACUGGUAGAGCAUACCAAGGCGCUUGAGAGAACUAUGCUGAAGGAACUCGGCAAAUUGCAUGCGUAACUUCGGGAUAAGCAUGACCUCGGCGUGGGCAACCGCGCAGGGGUGACACAAAAGAGGGGGUAGCGACUGUUUAUUAAAAACACAGGGCUCUGCGAAGUUGCAAAACGACGUAUAGGGUCUGACGCCUGCCCGGUGCCGGAAGGUUAAAUGGAGGGGUGCAAGCUCUGAAAUGAAGCCCCGGUAAACGGCGGCCGUAACGAUAACGGUCCUAAGGUAGCGAAAUUCCUUGUCGGGUAAGUUCCGACCUGCACGAAUGGCGUAACGACUUCCCCACUGUCUCCAGCAUAGACUCAGCGAAAUUGAAUUCCCCGUGAAGAUGCGGGGUACCUGCGGUCAGACGGAAAGACCCCAUGAACCUUUACUCUAGCUUUGCGCUGGCAUUCGUGUCGGCAUGUGCAGGAUAGGUGGUAGGCUUUGAAGCAGGGACGCCAGUUCUUGUGGAGCCGCAAGAUGAGAUACCACCCUUAUCGUCAUGAAUGUCUAAUCGCGGUGUAACAGCAUCCGGGACAGCGCAUGGUGGGGAGUUUGACUGGGGCGGUCGCCUCCCAAAAAGUAACGGAGGCGCGCGAUGGUGGGCUCAGACCGGUCGGAAAUCGGUCGCUGAGUGCAAUGGCAUAAGCCUGCCUGACUGCGAGACUGACAAGUCGAGCAGAGACGAAAGUCGGUCAUAGUGAUCCGGUGGUCCCGCGUGGAAGGGCCAUCGCUCAACGAAUAAAAGGUACUCUGGGGAUAACAGGCUGAUACUGCCCAAGCGUCCAUAGCGACGGCAGUGUUUGGCACCUCGAUGUCGGCUCAUCACAUCCUGGGGCUGGAGCAGGUCCCAAGGGUAUGGCUGUUCGCCAUUUAAAGUGGUACGUGAGCUGGGUUUAGAACGUCGUGAGACAGUUCGGUCCCUAUCUGCCGUGGGUGUUGGAAUAUUGAGAGGAGCUGUCCCUAGUACGAGAGGACCGGGAUGGACGCACCUCUGGUGGACCUGUUGUGGCGCCAGCCGCAUUGCAGGGUAGCUAUGUGCGGACGGGAUAAGCGCUGAAAGCAUCUAAGCGCGAAGCCUCCCUCAAAACUAGUAUUCCCUUGAGAGUCGUGGAAGACCACCACGUUGAUAGGCCGGGUGUGGAAGCGGAGCAAUCCGUGAAGCUUACCGGUACUAAUAGCUU
rnacentral:rRNA from 1 species